UCCAUAUGUGAUUGCAAUGCAGGCCAUGUUUGCACCCUUUGUGAUUGAGCUGGUAUGAUUUUUGCUGAAAAAAUAAAUAAACAGACAACACAAGGCAGAUUUUGCCAUUGCUUACGAACGGAUGGAGUUUAUUACAUCCUCUCAAGCUCUAUCAGGUUGGAUGUUUCUUCAACCCUGACCAGUUCACUAGUCUCUGCACCUGAAAAACACCCCCACAGCAUGAUGCUACCACCACCAUGCUUCACCAUUGGGAUGGAAUUGAGCAGUGCCUACCCAGGUGGAGAAGUCGUCAUCUCAGCUGCAAAGAGAUGAUAAACAGAUUUGACAGAAUGCCCACAUCAUGUGGCAUACUGUGCUAAUGUUUUUCAUUAUAUUAUCAUAUUUGCAAAU